UUAAGCGACUAAGCGUACACGGUGGAUGCCUAGGCAGUCAGAGGCGAUGAAGGGCGUGCUAAUCUGCGAAAAGCGUCGGUAAGGUGAUAUGAACCGUUAUAACCGACGAUACCCGAAUGGGGAAACCCAGUGCAAUUCGUUGCACUAUUGCAUGGUGAAUACAUAGCCAUGCAAGGCGAACCGGGGGAACUGAAACAUCUAAGUACCCCGAGGAAAAGAAAUCAACCGAGAUUCCCCCAGUAGCGGCGAGCGAACGGGGAGGAGCCCAGAACCUGAAUCAGCGUAUGUGUUAGUGGAAGCGUCUGGAAAGUCGCACGGUACAGGGUGAUAGUCCCGUACACAAAAAUGCAUAUGUUGUGAGUUCGAUGAGUAGGGCGGGACACGUGACAUCCUGUCUGAAUAUGGGGGGACCAUCCUCCAAGGCUAAAUACUCCUGACUGACCGAUAGUGAACCAGUACCGUGAGGGAAAGGCGAAAAGAACCCCGGCGAGGGGAGUGAAACAGAACCUGAAACCGUGUACGUACAAGCAGUGGGAGCACCUUCGUGGUGUGACUGCGUACCUUUUGUAUAAUGGGUCAGCGACUUAUAUUUUGUAGCAAGGUUAACCGAAUAGGGGAGCCGUAGGGAAACCGAGUCUUAACUGGGCGAAUAGUUGCAAGGUAUAGACCCGAAACCCGGUGAUCUAGCCAUGGGCAGGUUGAAGGUUGGGUAACACUAACUGGAGGACCGAACCGACUAAUGUUGAAAAAUUAGCGGAUGACUUGUGGCUGGGGGUGAAAGGCCAAUCAAACCGGGAGAUAGCUGGUUCUCCCCGAAAGCUAUUUAGGUAGCGCCUCGUGAACUCAUCUUCGGGGGUAGAGCACUGUUUCGGCUAGGGGGUCAUCCCGACUUACCAAACCGAUGCAAACUCCGAAUACCGAAGAAUGUUAUCACGGGAGACACACGGCGGGUGCUAACGUCCGUCGUGAAGAGGGAAACAACCCAGACCGCCAGCUAAGGUCCCAAAGUCAUGGUUAAGUGGGAAACGAUGUGGGAAGGCACAGACAGCCAGGAUGUUGGCUUAGAAGCAGCCAUCAUUUAAAGAAAGCGUAAUAGCUCACUGGUCGAGUCGGCCUGCGCGGAAGAUGUAACGGGGCUAAACCAUGCACCGAAGCUGCGGCAGCGAACGUAUCACUUAAAACGCUUAACGUGACGGCAAAGCCGGCAUGUUCAAGCCACACUAAACGUUGAGUUGGCCGAUGUGCUGACAAACGAACAGGCGUUUUAAGGAUACGUUCGUUGGGUAGGGGAGCGUUCUGUAAGCCGUUGAAGGUAGUCUGUGAGGGCUGCUGGAGGUAUCAGAAGUGCGAAUGCUGACAUAAGUAACGAUAAUGCGGGUGAAAAACCCGCACGCCGGAAGACCAAGGGUUCCUGUCCAACGUUAAUCGGGGCAGGGUGAGUCGACCCCUAAGGCGAGGCUGAAAAGCGUAGUCGAUGGGAAACAGGUUAAUAUUCCUGUACUUGGUGUUACUGCGAAGGGGGGACGGAGAAGGCUAGGCUAGCCGGGCGACGGUUGUCCCGGUUUAAGCAUGUAGGCGGAGUGACCAGGUAAAUCCGGUUGCUUAUCAACGCUGAGGUGUGAUGACGAUGCACUACGGUGCAGAAGUAGUUGAUGCCAUGCUUCCAGGAAAAGCCUCUAAGCAUCAGGUAACAUGAAAUCGUACCCCAAACCGACACAGGUGGUCAGGUAGAGAAUACUCAGGCGCUUGAGAGAACUCGGGUGAAGGAACUAGGCAAAAUGGUGCCGUAACUUCGGGAGAAGGCACGCUGGCNGAAGCCAGUCGCAGAUACCAGCUGGCUGCAACUGUUUAAUAAAAACACAGCACUGUGCAAACACGAAAGUGGACGUAUACGGUGUGACGCCUGCCCGGUGCUGGAAGGUUAAUUGAUGGGGUCAGCCGCAAGGCGAAGCUCUUGAUCGAAGCCCCAGUAAACGGCGGCCGUAACUAUAACGGUCCUAAGGUAGCGAAAUUCCUUGUCGGGUAAGUUCCGACCUGCACGAAUGGCGUAAUGAUGGCCAGGCUGUCUCCACCCGAGACUCAGUGAAAUUGAACUCGCUGUGAAGAUGCAGUGUACCCGCGGCAAGACGGAAAGACCCCGUGAACCUUUACUAUAGCUUGACACUGAACAUUGAGCCUUGAUGUGUAGGAUAGGUGGGAGGCAUAGAAGUGUGGACGCCAGUCUGCAUGGAGCCAACCUUGAAAUACCACCCUUUAAUGUUUGAUGUUCUAACUCGGCCCCGUAAUCCGGGGUGAGGACAGUGUCUGGUGGGUAGUUUGACUGGGGCGGUCUCCUCCCAAAGAGUAACGGAGGAGCACGAAGGUUAGCUAAUCACGGUCGGACAUCGUGAGGUUAGUGCAAAGGCAUAAGCUAGCUUGACUGCGAGAGUGACGGCUCGAGCAGGUACGAAAGUAGGUCUUAGUGAUCCGGUGGUUCUGAAUGGAAGGGCCAUCGCUCAACGGAUAAAAGGUACUCCGGGGAUAACAGGCUGAUACCGCCCAAGAGUUCAUAUCGACGGCGGUGUUUGGCACCUCGAUGUCGGCUCAUCACAUCCUGGGGCUGAAGUAGGUCCCAAGGGUAUGGCUGUUCGCCAUUUAAAGUGGUACGCGAGCUGGGUUUAGAACGUCGUGAGACAGUUCGGUCCCUAUCUGCCGUGGGCGUUGGAAGAUUGAGAGGGGCUGCUCCUAGUACGAGAGGACCGGAGUGGACGAAUCACUGGUGUUCGGGUUGUCAUGCCAAUGGCAUUGCCCGGUAGCUAAAUUCGGAAGAGAUAACCGCUGAAAGCAUCUAAGCGGGAAACUUGCCUCGAGAUGAGUCUUCCCUGGGGCUUUAAGCCCCCUGAAGGAACGUUAAAGACGAUGACGUUGAUAGGCUGGGUGUGUAAGUGCAGCGAUGCAUUGAGCUAACCAGUACUAAUGAACCGUGAGGCUUAACCUU
rnacentral:rRNA from 1 species